rnacentral:rRNA from 1 species
UACAGAGGUCCCGAGCGUUUGUUCGGAUUCACUGGGCGUAAAGCGUGCGCAGGCGGCUUUGCAAGACAGAUGUGAAAUCCCCGGGCUCAACCUGGGAACUGCAUUUGUGACUGCAUGGCUAGAGUACGGGUAGAGGGGGGAUGGAAUUCCGCGUGUAGCAGUGAAAUGCGUAGAUAUGCGGAGGAACACCGAUGGCGAAGGCAAUCCCCCUGGACCUGUACUGACGCUCAUGCACGAAAGCGUGGGGGAGCAAAC